UACAGAGGUCUCAAGCGUUGUUCGGAUUCAUUGGGCGUAAAGGGUGCGUAGGCGGCGCGGUAAGUCGGGUGUGAAAUCUCGGAGCUUAACUCCGAAACUGCAUUUGAUACUGGCGUGCUUGAGGACUGGAGAGGAGACUGGAAUUCACGGUGUAGCAGUGAAAUGCGUAGAUAUCAGGAGGAACACCGGUGGCGAAGGCGGGUCUCUGGGCCGAAACUGACGCUGAGGAGCGAAAGCGUGGGGAGCGAACAGG
rnacentral:rRNA from 1 species